UCUACUCAAUAUGGAUUGCUUUCCCAUCAUUGUAAAGUCAGAAAAUCAUAAAUUGAACCAUCGUAAGUCAGGAACUGCUUGUAUUAUUAAAUAUGGAUUCUCACUUGGGACCUUGGCAGUGUGCUUUGCUUUUUAGAAGAGAAGUGUCAGUCAGUCUUAAUCCCACAGUCAAUAGUAGAGGACACGACUAAUAUAGGUGGUAUAAGAUAGCAUGGGAAUUUAGGUGAUAGUGCAGUAAUUCAGAGCUGAUGAGCUUGUGGCUGUCUUCACAAGGAAUUUAAGCGUUACUGACAGGCACGUAGCCUUAAAGGGGUUAAAAGUGUAAGACUCAGUCCCUAGACAAAAAUGUUUGCUGGCUUCAACAAGAUUGCCCCCAAAUUCAUGUCCACCCAGAACCUCACAAUGUGCCCUUAUUAUGAAAUAGGGUCUUUGUGAUACAAUUAAGUUAAGGAUCAAGAUGAGAUCACACUGUAUUAGAGUGGACCCUAAAUCCAAUGAGGGCACCCUUACAAGAGAAAGAAAUGGACCCUUAGAAGUAUAGGGAAAGAGCUCAUCUGAAGACAAAGGCAGAGAUUUCUAUUAUUCUGCCACAAGACAAAAAAUCUGGGGCCACCAGAGGCUGGAAGAAACAAGGAAAGAUCUUCCCUAAGCCCUUGAGGGAGCAUGGCCCUGUUGACACUUCGAUUUUGUCCUUCUGUCAUCUAAAACUCUAUUGUGAGAAAAUAUAUUUCUGUUCUUUUAAUCUACCAUGUUUGGGUCACUUUUAUGACAUUCUGGAAAUCAAACACAGAGGGUUUCCAGGAGCCUGGUAUAUUGGCAAGAUCACUGCCUAACACCGUAGCUAUUCAAGGUGCCUUCCACUCUGUAGAGGGAGAGAAAAGUUACCAUCAAGCAAGAAGCAGUUGAAUGCCUUAAGGGAAGUACAGACCUUGCAGGAGUCAGGUUUGUUUACUGUCAUCCUGGCCUCACCAAUUGCUUACUUCUCUGAACCUCAGAUACCUAACUUCGAAAACACUGCUCUUUGUGGCUAGGAAGUUCUGGACAAGACUAUGUGCACAUCCCUUUCACUGCUUCUAGCUAUCAAAUGGGUUUAUGCCUCAGGUAGCUCUCAAAAUCUUCAAUCAAGGAGUUCAUUUAAUGAAGGUUUUGAUCCAGAAAACCAAAAUCAAGAUUUCCACAGGGACACAGUCCCUCCAGGGCUUCAGGGAGAAUUUGUUCCUGUUUCUUUUCACUGUCUGGUGACUUCAAGUAUUCCUCAGCUUGCUGCCAUAUUACUCAGUAUCUGCCUCCAUCAUCCCAUUACCUCCUCAUCUUCCUUGUCCUCUCCUCUCUGUGUAAGUCUUAAAACUCCCUCUGCUUCUUUAUUAGAAGAAUACAUUUCACUGAAUACAGGGUACAUGGAGAAAACUCAGGCUAAGCUCCUCCUCUUAAAUAUCCUUUAAAAAAUCACAUAUUUUGCCAUAUAAGUUAAUAUUCACUAUUUUG